AGAGUCUGAAAGGUGAGGAUUGAGCUCAGUGUCCAGCAGGAUGUUUGCUGACUUGAUAUUUUUAUGAAUAAUAGAUGGUGAACAUACUUCAUGCAUGUACUCUAAUGCACGAGCAGUCCCCAAAGCUAUCUUGACACGGGAAUUCCAUAUCAAAGGCUUGCUGUAUUCAUCUGAAAGACGCAGGAAGUCAUUUAGUGACCCAUUUUUAUGGAACUCAUAGACUAGCAGGUGCUGCCCAUGCUCUGAACAAUA
rnacentral:misc_RNA from 1 species